GUAGUUGUCUGUGCUGGGCUGCAUCUUUGGCUGCUUCUUGUUUUUGUAGCCUUUCCAUCUCUUGUUUGUGAGUGGCCCUCGUCUCUGGCCAUCUGUGUCCU